rnacentral:rRNA from 1 species
UACGGGGGGGGCAAGCGUUGUUCGGAAUUACUGGGCGUAAAGGGCUCGUAGGCGGCCAACUAAGUCAGACGUGAAAUCCCUCGGCUCAACCGGGGAACUGCGUCUGAUACUGGAUGGCUUGAAUCCGGAAGAGGGAUGCGGAAUUCCAGGUGUAGCGGUGAAAUGCGUAGAUAUCUGGAGGAACACCGGUGGCGAAGGCGGCAUCCUGGGUCGGAAUUGACGCUGAGGAGCGAAAGCCAGGGGAGCAAACGGG